rnacentral:rRNA from 1 species
UACGUAGGGGGCAAGCGUUGUCCGGAAUCAUUGGGCGUAAAGCGCGUGUAGGCGGUCCGAUCAGUCGGCUGUGAAAGUCCAGGGCUCAACCCUGGGAUGCCGGUCGAUACUGUCGGGCUAGAGUCCGGAAGAGGCGAGUGGAAUUCCCGGUGUAGCGGUGAAAUGCGCAGAUAUCGGGAGGGACACCAAUGGCGAAGGCAGCUCGCUGGGACGGUACUGACGCUGAGACGCGAAAGCGUGGGGAGCAAACAGG